GACGAACGCUGGCGGCGUGCCUAAUACAUGCAAGUUGAGCGAUGAAGAUUGGUGCUUGCACCAAUUUGAAGAGCAGCGAACGGGUGAGUAACGCGUGGGGAAUCUGCCUUUGAGCGGGGGACAACAUUUGGAAACGAAUGCUAAUACCGCAUAACAACUUUAAACAUAAGUUUUAAGUUUGAAAGAUGCAAUUGCAUCACUCAAAGAUGAUCCCGCGUUGUAUUAGCUAGUUGGUGAGGUAAAGGCUCACCAAGGCGAUGAUACAUAGCCGACCUGAGAGGUUGAUCGGCCACAUUGGGACUGAGACACGGCUCAAACUCCUACGGGAGGCAGCAGUAGGGAAUCUUCGGCAAUGGACGAAAGUCUGACCGAGCAACGCCGCGUGAGUGAAGAAGGUUUUCGGAUCGUAAAACUCUGUUGGUAGAGAAGAACGUUGGUGAGAGUGGAAAGCUCAUCAAGUGACGGUAACUACCCAGAAAGGGACGGCUAACUACGUG
rnacentral:rRNA from 1 species